rnacentral:lncRNA from 1 species
GUCUUCCCCACCGCUGCCCAGAAAUCCCUGGCCGUGGACACCAGCUGAGGGUCGUUCUUUCCCUUUGAUGUUGUCGGAGAGUGACGGCGUGGAGGGCUGCAGCAGCACUCUGGAAAAGAAAAAAAAAGAUGGGAGCAGGAAAGCGAGGCCAGCAGGGAGCUCGGGAUCUUCUGCGAAAGUCCACAGCAAAUUUUAAGCGUGUAAAAGGGUUUUCCCUCCUUUGGAACUUCAUUGCCGCUAGACCUGGGGAACCUGCCCUGGUUGCUGUUCUCCAUCCGUGUCCGGCUGGUGCCGACGCAGGUGAGUCUUGCAGAGUUCAGACACCGCCUCGUAUUCUCGCUUCCCCAGCUCUGGCCAAAGACCACCCGGAGGAACGGAAAAUGCAUCGUGGUGCCACUAUCUGGGACUCCACCAGGGUCACCUUUAAGAUGUGACCGUCUUCCUUUUUUUUUUGCCAUAAACAGAAUGGAAGCACCCAGAAGUGUUUGUGGACACAGUUGGGGACAACACAUGGUGCUUCCGAACCUCACACGGUCGGGAAACCUCUUAUGGCACGCCGAGUGGUAAUGUGAUAUUGCUGCUGACCCCGGGGCUCUCAGGAAGGGAAACCCUCUAUUUUCAGUAGCCCAGCUACGCAAACAACACGGGAGGCCGGCUCCAUGCACAGACCGCAGACCCACCGCCAGGCCUGGCCGCCCGGGCACCGCCGCUUCUCCCGUCAUCUCGCCAGGCCGGUGGCCGGUCUCAAAAGGCGAAUCAAUUUAGUCCGCUG